UCCCAUGUAGCUCAGUGGUUAAGGCAUUCGCUUUGAACACAAGCUAAGCUGUACAAUGUAGGUUCAAUCCCAGCCGUGUCAU